rnacentral:rRNA from 1 species
CGAACGGGUGAGUAACGCGUGAAUAACCUGACUCAAAGAGGGGGGUAACAACGGGAAACUGUUGCUAAUACCGCAUGAGACCACAACACCGCAUGAUGAAGGGGUCAAAGAUUUAUCGCUUUGAGAGGGGUUCGCGUCCCAUUAGGUAGUUGGAGGGGUAACGGCCCACCAAGCCAACGAUGGGUAGCCGAGCUGAGAGGCUGAUCGGCCACACUGGAACUGAGACACGGUCCAG